rnacentral:rRNA from 1 species
AUACGUAGGGGGCGAGCGUUGUCCGGAAUGAUUGGGCGUAAAGGGCGCGUCGGCGGCUUUGCAAGUCAGUUGUGGAAGUCCCUAGUUCAAGGAUGGAAGUGCUACAGAAAGUGGGGAGCUUGAGUGAGGGAGCGGUUAUCGGAAUUCCUGGUGUAGCGGUGAAAUGAGUAGAGAUCGGGAGGAACACCAGUGGCGAAGGCGGGUAACUGGACUGCAACUGACGCUGAGGCGCGAAAGUGUGGGGAGCAAACAGGGUUAGAUACCCUGGUAGUCCACACUGUAAACGAUGAAUGCUAGGUGUAGGAGGUAUCGACCCCUUCUGUGCCGCAGUAAACACAGUAAGCAUUCCGCCUGGGGAGUACGGUCGCAAGAUUAAAACUCAAAGGAAUUGACGGGG